AUAAGAGUUUACAGAGGGCAUGUGGGAUUGAAAGAGGGUUUAUAUUUAAAUCUUCCUACUUCGGGGUCAAAAUCACAUUCUACUUCACGCGGUCUGAUCAUUUCCCAAAGGAAUCAGGACUUAAAAUUCUACCUUGCCCUGAAAUCGGGCCAGGAGGAGAGGAGGAAGAGCUCUGAAGUAUUUUUGUGAUUUUUUUUUUUUUUGUAUGUAAUACUCAGCUUUUCAUUUGAUUUGAUUAUUUUUCCUUCCCAGUUUUCUGGUCUUUUCAUUUAACCUAACUUGUACUCCAAGAAUAGUGGUUUUUAUCACAGUUCCAAAAAAAACAUAGCAAUGACCAUGAGCCUCAGCUUCUUUUGAAAAAUGCCUUGUUCUAAAAGGUGGUGUCUGCCCUUUAUACCUGUAUCAUUAAUUCUUCCUAGCCAGACUGACUGGGAUGAUCUUCACAACCACUUUUAGAAAAAAUGGUGCUCAGUUGAACCAGGAGGUUAGACUUGAACAAGACAUGUCUGUUUCUUGUCCAGCUAAGAUUUUAUCAAUGUACAUUUACCUAAAGGAGGAGAAAUCUGAGAUAGUCAAAUUCUUUAGAUUACUUACAUGAGGAGGGUAUAAUUGUCACAAGGAGAGAAAAGCAACUAACACCUUAGGGCAACCAGGCCCUCCACAAAAGUGGAAAAUACAAUUCUGACUGAUAUGAACUAAAUUUUCCAUAACCUGUACUCACUCUCAUCCCAUUACCCAGUAACGUAAAUGAGCUGCUGUUUCUCUCUGGGAGUUUAACUGGCAGAAUAAAUGGAAAGAUGUCAGCAAAAGAAGGAAGCAGGGGUUACAAGCAGGAGGGCUAUAUAAUCUGAUUACAAUAUUAAAGAAUACAUUGUCUGCAAAAGCAGAACCAAGGAAACUUUUUUGGAGUCCAGUACAGUAAUUCAGGUACGAAAAGAUUGUGGUUUGGGCUAAGAGACUGACAGCAGAGAUGGACGGAAGUCAAUAGACUGGAAAUAUAUUUCAAAGAAAUAUACAUACAAGAUAUAUAUGGAGAAUAUUCACUGCAGCAUUGGAACAGCAACAGGUAGAGAAUAACCAAAAUGUCUAUCAACAGGGUGAUGGUUAUGUAAAUUGCAGUAUAUCCACAAAAUGCACACAUAUUAUUUUUCAAAAAAACCCCAGAGCAAUGGCUAAACAAACUAUGGCAGAUCACCUUGAUGAUAUAUGAGUCUGGUACUGUGCUGAAUUCAAAACAGUCCUAUGAGAUGGCAUUGUUCAUCUCUAACAAAAAGCUAAACUGAUGAUGGAUGAGAUGGAAUGUCUGGACAAGGUCCCCAUGUCAUUAAGAAGCAGAAGGGAUAUGAGCCUGGCCCUACCUGGCACCAACUCCCUGCAGCCUGCCUCGGAAGUACCUAAAUUGUGAAAAAUACCCCAUUUUAUUCUAGGUAUGACUCUGCAUGUCUGUGCUGUUUUUUCACUAGAUUGGAAGCUUCUUGAAAGCAAGAGCCAUUCAUCAGUUUAUCAUCAACUACUAUCACAAUGGCUGGGGUGUGGUAAGUGCUCAGUAAAAGUUUGUUGAUAUCAACAGAUGAUUUUCUUUUAGCAACCAGAUAUUUAUGAGAUGUAAAUGCUAGAACCUGUCAUCUUUUGUAAAAGGUAGAAUAUUUUGUUUUAAUUUUUUUCGGCUACACCGCGCAACUUGAGGGAUCUUGGAUCCCCGACCAGUUAUUGCAUCCGGGCCACGGCACUGAAAGCACCAAGUCCUAACCACUGGACCACCAGGGAACUCCCAAGAAACAUCUCUUGGACCUGCCUCUUCCAUUCCACUUCUCCAGCCAGCCCUGCUGAUUUAGUGUCAUCACCUGGGGCCUGGAUUGCAGCAACAGCAUCCCAGUUCUUCUGGCUCCCUGCAUCUGUGCAACUUCUAGUAAAUUCAUUGUUAUAUAGUGCCCUUUUCCCAUCUGUGAUUCCCUUUUGGGAGAGGCUGGCAUGAGUCUCUAUUUCCUGUUUAACAAAUAAAUACCAGGCUUCACAGCCCAGUCUUCAAGGCCCCAAACCUAUAUAGCUUCUUCUCCAUGUCUGCUUUCCAUAGACUGAUGAAAUCCAAUUUCUAUUUGCCAGUACCUGCUUCUGGCAACACCAACCCCAUCACCGUAUUAGCUUUGAGUCCCUAAAUCCCUUCCUUCUCCUCCUCUGGGUCAAUCCCCAUCCCUUGCCUCCUUCAAAACCCAGCCCAUUAGAAGAUAACAAAGCCAAUCUUGGGGUGAAGCAGGUCUUUCCAAAUGAAAGAAAGCAAAAGAUGAAAACAUAAAGGGAUUGUACAAUAAAUUUGAUU